GUAUCUUGGGGUCUUGUUCACGAGUGAGGGCAGGAGGGAGCGAGAGAUCGACAGGCGGAUCGGUGCAGCGUCUGCUGUGAUGCGGACGUUGUAUCGGUCUGUCGUGGUGAAGAAGGAGCUGAGCCAAAGGGCGAAGCUCUCAAUUUACCGGUCGAUCUACGUUCCAACCCUCAUCUAUGGUCACGAGCUAUGGGUCGUGACCGAAAGAACGAGAUCCCGGAUACAAGCGGCCGAAAUGAGUUUUCUCCGCAGGGUGUCCGGGCUCUCCCUUAGAGAUAAGGUGAGAAGCUCUGUCAUCCGGGAGGGGCUCAGAGUCGAGCCGCUUCUCCUCCACAUCGAGAGGAGCCAGAUGAGGUGGCUCGGGCAUCUGAUUCGGAUGCCUCCCUGGUGAGGUGUUUCGGGCAUGUCCCGCUGGCAGGAGACCCCGCGGACGACCCAGGACACGCUGGAGAGACUAUGUCACCCAGCUGGCCUGGAAACGCCUCAGGAUCUGACAGGAAGAGCUCGAAGAAGUGGCUGGGGAGAGGGAAGGCUGGGCUGCCCCC